rnacentral:rRNA from 1 species
AGUGAACGCUGGCGGUAGGCCUAACACAUGCAAGUCGAACGGCAGCCCAGUAAGAGCUUGCUCUUACGGGUGGCGAGUGGCGGACGGGUGGGGAAUACAUCGGAAUCUACUUUUUCGUGGGGGAUAACGUAGGGAAACUUACGCUAAUACCGCAUACGACCUACGGUUGAAAGCAGGGGAUCUUCGGACCUUGCGCGAUUGAUUGAGCCGAUGUCGGAUUAGCUAGUUGGCGGGGUAAAGGCCCACCAAGGCGACGAUCCGUAGCUGGUCUGAGAGGAUGAUCAGCCACACUGGAACUGAGACACGGUCCAGACUCCUACGGGAGGCAGCAGUGGGGAAUAUUGGACAAUGGGCGCAAGCCUGAUCCAGCCAUACCGCGUGGGUGAAGAAGGCCUUCGGGUUGUAAAGCCCUUUUGUUGGGAAAGAAAAGCAGCAGGUUAACACCCCGCUGUUCUGACGGUACCCAAAGAAUAAGCACCGGCUAACUUCGUG